rnacentral:rRNA from 1 species
GACGAACGCUGGCGGCGUGCCUAAUACAUGCCAGUAGAACGCUGAAGAGAGGAGCUUGCUCUUCUUGGAUGAGUUGCGAACGGGUGAGUAACGCGUAGGUAACCUGCCUUGUAGCGGGGGAUAACUAUUGGAAACGAUAGCUAAUACCGCAUAACAAUGGAUGACACAUGUCAUUUAUUUGAAAGGGGCAAUUGCUCCACUACAAGAUGGACCUGCGUUGUAUUAGCUAGUAGGUGAGGUAACGGCUCACCUAGGCGACGAUACAUAGCCGACCUGAGAGGGUGAUCGGCCACACUGGGACUGAGACACGGCCCAGACUCCUACGGGAGGCAGCAGUAGGGAAUCUUCGGCAAUGGGGGCAACCCUGACCGAGCAACGCCGCGUGAGUGAAGAAGGUUGUCGGAUCGUAAAGCUCUGUUGUAAGUCAAGAACGAGUGUGAGAGUGGAAAGUUCACACUGUGACGGUAGCUUACCAGAAAGGGACGGCUAACUACGUG